UACGAAGGGGGCUAGCGUUGUUCGGAAUUACUGGGCGUAAAGCGCACGUAGGCGGACAUUUAAGUUGGAGGUGAAAGCCUUGGGCUCAACCCAAGAAUUGCCUUUGAUACUGGAUGUCUCGAGACCGGGAGAGGUGAGUGGAAUUCCGAGUGUAGAGGUGAAAUUCGUAGAUAUUCGCAAGAACACCAGUGGCGAAGGCGGCUCACUGGCCCGGUACUGACGCUGAGGUGCGAAAGCGUGGGGAGCAAACAGGG
rnacentral:rRNA from 1 species